UACGUAGGGACCGAGCGUUGUCCGGAUUCAUUGGGCGUAAAGAGCUCGUAGGCGGCCACUCAAGUCGAAUGUGAAACCUCGAGGCUUAACCUCGAGCCUGCAUUCGAUACUGGGCGGCUAGAGUCUGGUAGGGGGAUCUGGAAUUCCUGGGUGUAGCGGUGGAAUGCGCAGAUAUCAGGAAGAACACCCGUGGCGAAGGCGGCUCUCUGGGACGGUACUGACGCUGAGACGCGAAAGCGUGGGGAGCGAACAGGG
rnacentral:rRNA from 1 species